rnacentral:rRNA from 1 species
GACAGAGGGUGCAAACGUUGUUCGGAAUUACUGGGCGUAAAGCGCGUGUAGGCGGUUUCGCAAGUCGGGUGUGAAAGCCCAGGGCUCAACCCUGGAAGUGCAUUCGAUACUGCGAGGCUAGAGUACCGAAGAGGGUGGUGGAACUCUCGGUGUAGAGGUGAAAUUCGUAGAUAUCGAGAAGAACACCGGUGGCGAAGGCGGCCACCUGGACGGAUACUGACGCUGAGACGCGAAAGCGUGGGGAGCAAACAGG